AGUGAACGCUGGCGGUAGGCCUAACACAUGCAAGUCGAACGGCAGCACAGUAAGAGCUUGCUCUUACGGGUGGCGAGUGGCGGACGGGUGAGGAAUACAUCGGAAUCUACUUUUUCGUGGGGGAUAACGUAGGGAAACUUACGCUAAUACCGCAUACGACCUACGGGUGAAAGCAGGGGAUCUUCGGACCUUGCGCGAUUGAAUGAGCCGAUGUCGGAUUAGCUAGUUGGCGGGGUAAAGGCCCACCAAGGCGACGAUCCGUAGCUGGUCUGAGAGGAUGAUCAGCCACACUGGAACUGGGACACGGUCCAGACUCCUACGGGAGGCAGCAGUGGGGAAUAUUGGACAAUGGGCGCAAGCCUGAUCCAGCCAUACCGCGUGGGCGAAGAAGGCCUUCGGGUUGUAAAGCCCUUUUGUUGGGAAAGAAAAGCAGCAGGUUAAUACCCCGCUGUUCUGACGGUACCCAAAGAAUAAGCACCGGCUAACUUCGUG
rnacentral:rRNA from 1 species